AGGAGGAACAACCCCAGUGGCGGCGGCCAGCUCUCGAGCCCUGGAUUCAGCUCCUGCAGUAACUCUGGAGCUCUCCGUCUGCAGCGCCUGGAGCCUUCGGGGGCGG
rnacentral:pre_miRNA from 1 species